CUAUCCGUCGUGGGCGGAGGAAAUUUGAGAGGAGCUGUCCUUAGUACGAGAGGACCGGGAUGGACAUACCUCUGGUGUACCAGUUGUCGUGCCAACGGCAUAGCUGGGUAGCUAUGUAUGGACGGGAUAAGUGCUGAAAGCAUCUAAGCAUGAAGCCCCCCUCAAGAUGAGAUUUCCCAACUUCGGUUAUAAGAUCCCUCGAAGAUGACGAGGUUAAUAGGUUCGAGGUGGAAGCGUGGUGACACGUGGAGCUGACGAAUACUAAUCGAUCGAAGACUUAAUCAAUUUUUAAA
rnacentral:rRNA from 1 species